CAUCAUCCUUGUCAUUGUGAGUCUAAAUUACUCUCACAACAGAGAAACACAACCAAUAAAAGGACAAAAAGAAAUGUGGCUUCUCCGUGACGAUGUGUUUUAUUUGUUCUGGAGUGACCAAAUUGAUUGUCGCGCUGCUGAGCGCUUCUGCUCUAAGAGAAACGCCAGUCUGGCUGUUUUAACUGAGCAUAACAAGGUCUGGUUGAUGUCUAGGACCAAUGGAAAGCAAUUUUUGGUCUCAAGAGCCUCAUCAGAUGGAUCUGGAGACACUGCUUCUCUCUCAGUGGAUGAUGAAAAUUUUGAGUGUGGCAUCAUAACCGAAGAUGUUGACACAGACCAUGGAGAAGGAUUUGUGUGUGAGAGGAGUGUGAAUCCCGGUCAGAAAUUGUGCAGACUUCAACAUCUUUUGAAGCUGUAAUGGAUAUACUGGACAGCUCCU